rnacentral:ribozyme from 1 species
AAAUCCAGGAAACUCUGAGCGAUGAAGGCGAGAAAAAUGCGGAUGUCCCACACGAGGCGCUUUUGGUUCUAGAUGCGGCACAGGGACGAAUGGCGUUGGAUUCGGCACGUGUCUGGAACAAGGAAAU